ACGAAGGUCCCGAGCGUUAUUCGGAAUCACUGGGCGUAAAGGGAGCGUAGGCUGCGCGGUAAGUCAGAUGUGAAAUCUGGGGGCUCAACCCCCAAACUGCAUUCGAUACUGCCGUGCUAGAGUAAUGGAGGGGUAACUGGAAUUCUCAGUGUAGCAGUGAAAUGCGUAGAUAUUGAGAGGAAGACCAAUGGCGAAAGCAGGUUACUGGACAUUUACUGACGCUGAGGCUCGAAGGCUAGGGGAGCAAAAGGGAUUAGAUACCCCUGUAGUCCUAGCAGUAAACGAUGUGCGCUUGGUGUGGGAGGGUUCGACCCCUUCUGUGCCGGAGCUAACGCGUUAAGCGCACCGCCUGGGGAGUACGGUCGCAAGACUA
rnacentral:rRNA from 1 species